rnacentral:rRNA from 1 species
GACGAACGCUGGCGGCGUGCUUAACACAUGCAAGUCGAACGAAGUGGCGAACGGGUGAGUAACGCGUCAUCAACCUGCCCUUCAGAGGGGGACCACAGGUGGAAACGACUGCUAAUACCGCAUACUGAAGGAAGGGAUUGCGUAUGAUGAGCUAGUUGGGGGGGUAAUGGCCAACCAAGGCGAGGAUCCGUAGCCGUGCUGAGAGGAGGAACGGCCAAAUUGGGACUGAGACAAGGCCCAGACUCCUACGGGAGGCAGCAGGGGGGAAGCUUCCGAAAUGGACGAAAGUCUGACGGAGCAAGGCCGCGGGAGUGAUGACGGCCGUCGGGUUGUAAAGCUCUGUUAAUCGGGACGCGGUACCUGAAUAGAAAGCCACGGCUAACUACGUGCCAGCAGCCGCGGUAAUAC